rnacentral:lncRNA from 13 species
GUGCCCAUUUUCUAAGCCAAAGCCAAAUUACUUGACCACAGAUAUAUUCAUCCUGAUAUGUUCAUCUGAUCAAAUCUGCUUUUUUUUUUUUUUUUUUUUUGAGACAGACUGUUUUUUUCAUUUUGUCACCCAGGCUGGAGUACAGUGACACAAUCUCAGCUCAUCUCAGCCUCUGCUUUCCCAGGCUGAAGAAAUUCUCCACCUAGGAUUACAGGAUCUGAAAAAACAAGUAGACCUGUGCCUUACUUCCUGAUCAGGGCCUGAGCACUGCGGACUUUAUGGAGAAUCACCUUCCCCACCCCCAGUUCCUCACAAAUCGGCUGCUGUAUGUAAAGCUGAUGCAAAGAAUCAUCACCCUGGGACCUACAUGGAGAAUUGAUACGGUCCUAAGUUAGGACAGCUACUGUGGGAAUGAAGAAGGAGAGAUGGAAUUGACAGAUGUCUGA